UAGUUCAUAGGGUUCCUAAGUUUUGGAAAUUCGCCUUUUAGUUUUUCUCAUAUCAAAAAUGAAGUCGGAGCUCCAAAACCCAUCAUCAGAGCUCGCCGUUCUCUCGCAAAGCACCGAGGACAAGCCGCCGCCAAGAUCCAGGCCGCCUCCGAAGCGAUUUGUGAAGAAUCAGAUUCCCGAUUCCAUCCUUAACGAUCCUGCCUUGAAUGCCGCCAUCUCUCUCCUUCCUUCCAACUACAACUUCGAGGUUCACAAGUGCGUAUGGCGAAUUCUCUCCUCCUCCGCCUCCCGUGUUGCCCUUCAGCUCCCCGAAGGUCUUCUCAUGUACUCUCUUAUCCUCUCCGAUAUCCUCACCACUUUCGGCAAAGCCUCCCACUGCUUCGUUCUUGGCGAUGUCACUUUUGGCGCUUGUUGUGUUGAUGACCUUUCCGCCUCCGCUCUCCAUGCCGAUCUCCUCGUCCAUUACGGCCACAGUUGCCUCGUCCCUAUCGAUUCCACUACCAUUCCCUGCCUCUAUGUUUUUGUAGACAUUGCUAUUGAUGUGCCUCGUCUUGUUAAUACUGUUCGUCUCAAUGUUGAUUGCCUUGAUUCUACAAAUUUGGUGCUUGCUGGGACAAUUCAAUUCGCCUCUGCUAUUAGAGCUUCGAAGAUGGAGCUAGAGAGACAUGGCAUCAGGGUUUUAAUUCCUCAGUCCAGGCCAUUGUCUGCUGGGGAAGUUCUGGGCUGUACGGCUCCUAAAGUUUCUACUGCUGCGUUCGGUAAUAAUGGGGAGACUGUUGCGAUUUUUGUGGCCGAUGGGAGGUUUCAUUUGGAAGCUUUCAUGAUUGCGAAUCCUGGAAUUAGGGUUUUCCGGUAUGAUCCGUAUAUUGGUAAGUUAUUGCUUGAGGAGUAUGAUCAUGAAGGAAUGAAGGCGUCGAGAAAAGGCGCGAUUCUGAAGGCGAAGGAAGCUACAAAUUGGGGUAUUGUGUUGGGAACUUUAGGGAGGCAAGGGAACCCUAAAAUUUUGGAGAGAUUGGAAGAGAAGAUGAAGUCUAAAGGAUUUGAUUAUACUGUUGUAUUAAUGUCUGAAAUCAGUCCUUAUAGAGUGGCUUUGUUUGAGGAUUCGGUGGAUGCAUGGAUUCAGAUAGCUUGUCCCCGUCUUUCAAUUGACUGGGGAGAUGCUUUUGCUAAGCCUCUUCUUACUCCAUUUGAGGCUGAGGUAGCUCUUGGACUAAUUCCUGGUUGGUGGGAGAGGACGAGCUCAGCUAAAUUGAGUUGUAAUGAUUGUCGGGAAUGUGGAUGUAAUGGCGAUGAAAUAAAUAAGGCGGAAGCUGAAGGAGAAUAUCCUAUGGAUUAUUAUGCUCAGGAUGGUGGUGAAUGGAACUCUUCCUAUGUAAAGAAGAAAGUUUCUCGCCCCGUCCGGAGAGAUGUUUCCUGUAUCAGUGACAAAGCCAUUUCUUUACAUUAGCCUCUUCAAAUAAGAAAAUCAAAUUCUUCGGUAGAUGAAGCAACUCCCUUAUAGUUCAAGACAUGAUUAGGCUUUACAAGUUCUGGUGGACUAAAUUACUCCUCUUGGAGCUGUGGCUACUUAUUACCUCUUCAAUAGAAAACGAAAUAGAUUUCAUGAUGAUGAUGGACACACACAACAUUCUGGAAAUUGGGGUGGCGUUGAGGCAUCUUUUCGCAGGGAUGCACAUGCACGCACAAAAAGACGGAGAAAGUCAUGCACAUAUUGUGGUGCAUCUGUGCACGUGGUUGAUAAGUAUUAUAAAGUUGCAUGGAUAUCCUUCUGGUCAAACAGUGAAACAAUUCCUGAGGCAUCCUUUCUCUCACUUUGAGAGUAGUCGAGAUUUUCGUUUCACAGUAGUUAAAAAUGUUUUGGAAAUUCUAGCUUCUGCUGCCAUGGCUGAUUGAAAGAGUGUGUUCCACCGAGGGUUUUGUUCCACCGAGAGUUGUGUUCCAUCUCUCAGCCAAAAGCAGUGUCAGAACUCAAUCUUAAGUAUAAGUUACACAUUUUUCGACAUCUUACUAUAUUGUCAAAUCAUGAUAACAUUUUUGUUGCACAUGUUUGUGAAGCUCGAAUAUCAUACUGAAGAGUAUUCUUCUUUUGCCAAGUCUCAGCAUCCAUAUGUUGCUGUUUUCCAACCAAGUCUUCUUUAUUUGUGGACUUUUCUUGUGCUGGCUCAUGUUCUAAAUCAAUUGAGUUUGGAGAUGAAAGUCGUUGGCAAGAGUAGGGAAGAUGGGUGCAUUUAAUGUUUACAUGACUGCUUGAAAUUCUUUUGGGACAUAAAUAACUUAGGUCUUAGAAUUGCUUA